rnacentral:rRNA from 1 species
GACACUACCUGGUACAGGGGACGCCUCGCUUUCAGCAGGCCAACCCUGUGGCGAGUCCGAGUAGCGUCGGACCGUCGCAACGCGCGGAAAGGAGUGGGCUGCAUUAUUGCGGCUUAAGGUACGUGCUAAACCCUUGGGAAACCAAGCUCGUAGGAUUAGACCCGAUAUGUCGAAGU